rnacentral:rRNA from 1 species
GGGUGAGUAACGCGUGAGAAUCUGCCUUCAGGUUCGGGACAACAGUUGGAAACGACUGCUAAUACCGGAUGUACCGAGAGGUAAAAGCUUAAUGUGCCUGAAGAUGAGCUCGCGUCUGAUUAGCUAGUUGGAGUGGUAAUGGCACACCAAGGCAACGAUCAGCAGCUGGUCUGAGAGGAUGAUCAGCCACACUGGGACUGAGACACGGCCCAGACUCCUACGGGAGGCAGCAGUGGGGAAUUUUCCGCAAUGGGCGCAAGCCUGACGGAGCAAUACCGCGUGAGGGAGGAAGGCUUUUGGGUUGUAAACCUCUUUUAUUGGGGAAGAAGAACUGACGGUACCCAAUGAAUCAGCAUCGGCUAACUCCGUGCCAGCAGCCGCGGUAAUACGGAGGAUGCAAGCGUUAUCCGGAAUUAUUGGGCGUAAAGGGUCCGCAGGUGGCUUAUGAAGUCUGCUGUUAAAGCGUGGAGCUUAACUCCAUAAAGGCAGUGGAAACUGAUGAGCUAGAGUUCAGUAGGGGUCGCGGGAAUUCCCAGUGUAGCGGUGAAAUGCGUAGAUAUUGGGAAGAACACCGGUGGCGAAAGCGCGCGACUGGGCUGAGACUGGCACUGAGGGACGAAAGCUAGGGGAGCGAAAGGGAUUAGAUACCCCUGUAGUCCUAGCCGUAAACGAUGACAACUAGGUGUUGCGCGUAUCGACCCGUGCAGUGCCGUAGCUAACGCGUUAAGUUGUCCGCCUGGGGAGUACGCACGCAAGUGUGAAACUCAAAGGAAUUGACGGGGGCCCGCACAAGCGGUGGAGUAUGUGGUUUAAUUCGAUGCAACGCGAAGAACCUUACCAGGGCUUGACAUGUGCAGAAUCUCGGUGAAAGUCGAGAGUGCCUU